rnacentral:rRNA from 1 species
GAUGAACGCUGGCGGCGUGCCUAAUACAUGCAAGUCGAGCGAACAGACUAGUAGCUUGCUCCUCUGACGUUAGCCGCAGACGUGUGAGUAACACGUGGAUAACCUACCUAUAAGACUGGGAUGACUUCGAAAAUCCGUAGCUAAUACCGGAUAAUAUAGUUAACCACAUGGUUCAAUAGUGAAAGACGGUUUGGCUGUCACUUAUAGAUGAAUCCGGGCGGCAUUAGCUAGUUGGUUAGGUAACCGCUUACCAAGGGAACGAUGCGUAGCCGACCUGGGCGGGGGAUCGGCCACAUGGGAAGUGGGACAGCGUCAAGGCUCCUGAGGGAGGGAGCAGUAGGGAAUGUUAGGCAGUGGGGGGAAGCAUGACGGAACAACGGCGAGUCAGUUAUGACGGUCUCCGGUUCGUAAAAACGUCCUAUUAGGGAAGAACAAAUGUGUAAGGAACUAUGCACGUCUUGACGGUACCUAAUCAGAAAGCCCCGGCUAACUACGUG